AUAGUCAUAACUGCAUAGAACAAAUAAAUUUUUAACUCUAAACAAAAAUUCAAAAUAUUAAGUCCAAACCAAUUAAAAUACAUAUAAAAUCAAAAUAAAUAACACUAUUACUUUCAAUACUAACCUAUUUGGUUGUAAUGGAAUCUUUUGUUUUAUCAAUGAAAUUUGAGGACCACUCUUUCCUAAGAAGUCGUCAAGAAUUUAAAAAAGGUGAUGGAGUCGAUUAACCUACAAGAUGCAAUUUAACAAGAAUGACAAACAAAUUCAAACCAAAUGAAUUCAUUAACUAUUAAAGAACAUGCAAUUAUUUACCAUUGCUUUAUCAAUCUUCUAUCGACCUUCAAUUCCAUGACCAAUGGAGUCCAACACAUGCAAUUGCCUCGUCCGAAAAUUGAAUGUGUACAACCACCAAUGGUCAUUGAACACGGUUGGCACAAAGAUCUACAAAACAAUGCAAAAUUUAAAUCGACAGUCAACAUCAACAUUCUAAACAACACCAACAAAAUUUGCACAAAACAUCGCCAAUAUUAACUUACAAAAUCACAAUACGAUAUUCCCUGGUAUGAUAAUCAGAACUGGACCAUGAAAUUUGUCCCUCAUUCAUGUUGAUCUCCUCAAUUACACGAGUUUGUAACAACCAACUCUUAUUAUUACUAUUACCAAAAACUUAAAACAAAUAACAAGAAAUUUAAAUGCACACUAACCGCAAAAAGCGGAUUGAAUGAAAACUGAUUCAGCACUCUAAAUUUCACAAUUUGAUUCAGAUUUAACAACCGGUUACAAAUAACAUAACCUACAACCACAUUCAACAUAACUAAGUAAAUAAUAUAAGUACAUACAACAAACACAGCAAUAUGAAAAUUUUUAC
rnacentral:lncRNA from 1 species